ACACAGCUCAAGAAAUUUUAGAAUUGUUUAGAAGCUGCAAAUUAAAAUGUUUUUUUUUCAGGUCCACCUUGUAUGAUGUGACUAUCUUAUUCAAUAUUUCUGGUUUUGAGGAAAGCAUUUGCCAAUCAUAUCAAACGUCUACCUUGUAUGAUGUGACUAUCUUCUUAUUGGAUAUUUGUGGUUUUGAGGGGUGCAUUUGCCCAUCAUAUCAAUUAUCAGGUUACUGAGGACAGUGGAUAAAAUUGAUAUGGUGUUUUGUUACCAUGCUAUGGAGGGUAAUGGUGGAUGAGUGAGGGAUGACACUAACAGGACAAUAAGAAUCGCGUUUGAGAGAACUGAAAUGCAUUCUAAGCUAGUAUUUCAUCUUAGCGAAGUAUUCAAGUUUAUGAAACUACUGUCUGUAAGACAGGUAUUACGAUGUAAGCAAAUACAGUUGUAGCAAAUAAUAUUAUAUCUUUGAUAAAUAAAAUUAAUUUGAAUUUAUU